CAGGCUUAUGCAAAUACAGCUCAUGGAAGAUCAGAAUGUAUAAGAAUCUGUUUAUUGGAUACCUUCAAAGUCACUAAGGAUUUUAAAAAAUAAAAUGAAGAAAAUGAUGUAGAUUAAUUGCAAAAUGCAUGCAGAGGAAGAAAUUUUGAAAUAAAAAGGAAGGAGGAAUCAUUCGGCAAAAGGAGUAAAGAACACAUUUUGGAAAAAUGAGAUACAACUAACUGCUGUUAAAACUGAGACUUGGGCUCCUUUCCUGCUCACUCUUUCUGGACAUUUCUGUUCUUUUUUCGUGAGACAUUUGGCUGAUAAACUCCAUCCAGAUGUUUGGACCCUCCCAAUAGAUACUUUCAUAAGUCUAGUGUUGGGAACGGUCGAAAAAACAGAUGGAAAAAUAUAGUUCCUGAGUCAAAAUCUUUAAUAAGACAUGGAAACAUAAUGAAACUCUCAAAUAGACAUGGAGUUGGGAACAGAAUUGUAAGAAGUAACUCUCAAUUGUACGUGUGUGUCACAAAGUAAGAAUAAUAAAAGUCUACCCUACAUAUCUCCAAUUAAUCUGUUUCUCCCCAUGCUAUCCCCACAAUAUUCUUACAAGCCUAUGACAAACUUCGUAAACUAGAGAUAGGUUGUAAUCAAGGAGCUACAUUAUCAGAUAUCUAUUUCCAUGAGGGGAGGUAAUUUCUGAUCAAUUAUGUACUUUUGAAGUUUCUUUUUGCCUCUUUUCAGUUGUUUGGGGAUAUUUGUGAAUGGCAAAUAGUAAUACGUAACUAACAUUUCUUUCCUUAAAAUGGUCUUUUUUUCUUAUGAGUGGCUUCAGUUGAACUAGUUUGUCUUCUGAAGACAUACAAAGGCAUUUCUGACUUCGGCCCCUCUUGUACACCAGACCGUUGUAGCUCUUCCAUCCCACAAGAGUGAAGACUCAGGAGUCAGAACUUAGAACUUGAGCCCAAGCCACCAGAUACUUGAGUUAAGGGGUCUGGUGGGCCUUUAAAACGAUCACAUUCCCUUAUUUGCUUUCAUUUUCUUUGUCUGUAAAAUGGGGAUGUUAUGGACUAUGUUCUCUCCACCAUCUCAAAUUCCUGUGUUGAAGACCUUAUCCCUAGUACCUCACAGUGUUGCUGUUUUUGGAGA